rnacentral:rRNA from 1 species
UUGACCUCGGAUCAGUAGGACCC